rnacentral:rRNA from 1 species
CCCUUAGAUGUUCUGGGCCGCACGCGCGCUACACUGAAUGGAUCAACGUGUUUUCCCUUCCCGAGAGGGACGGGUAACCCGCUGAACCCCAUUCGUGGUAGGGAUCGGAGCUUGCAAUUGUUCUCCGUGAACCAGGAAUUCCCAGUAAGCGCAAGUCAUAAGCUUGCGUUGAUUACGUCCCUGCCCUUUGUACACACCGCCCGUCGCUACUACCGAUGGGGUGAUCCGGUGAAUGAUUCGGACUUCCGCAGUGCUAGCUACUAGCUUUGUGGAAGAAAGUCUUGUGAACCUUAUCACUUGGAGGAAGGAGAAGUCGUAACA